AGGACGAACGCUGGCGGCGUGCUUAACACAUGCAAGUCGAGCGGAAAGGCCCUUCGGGGUACUCGAGCGGCGAACGGGUGAGUAACACGUGAGUAAUCUGCCCCUAGCUCUGGGAUAGCUCCGGGAAACCGGGAUUAAUACCAGAUACGACCACUUUAGACAUCUGCUGUGGUGGAAAGAAUUUCGGCUAGGGAUGAGCUCGUGGCCUAUCAGCUUGUGGUGAGGUAACGGCUCACCAAGGCGACGACGGGUA
rnacentral:rRNA from 1 species